GUAUACCAAAUUUUGGGGGCGUCACAACAACCCUUAUAAGUAUUGAAAGAAAAUAACUCUCUUCAUGAAUACGAAAGAAUAAUACCCCUUACCUUAGAAAAACUGGAUACUUGAAUAAUGAGGUAGCAGACUUCUCUUCUUCUUUCUUUCUAUAAUAAUUACUCUAAAGCUUUUGUGAAUUGGUGAGAAAUGAAGGAAGAAUGAAC
rnacentral:lncRNA from 1 species